AAUGGAAUCAAAUACGCAGUAUUUACAGAAAAAAGUCUUCGUUUAUUGGGAAAGAAUCAAUAUACUUUUAGUGUCGAAUCGGGAUUCAUAAGAUUCUUCUUUCUUAUUCUUAAGCAAGCCCUCGAGAGGGCUUAG
rnacentral:rRNA from 1 species